GAUGAACGCUGGUGGCGUGCCUAACACAUGCAAGUCGAGCGAUUCUCUUCGGAGAAGAGCGGCGGACGGGUGAGUAACGCGUGGGUAACCUGCCCUGUACACACGGAUAACAUACCGAAAGGUAUGCUAAUACGAGAUAACAUGCUUUUAUCGCAUGGUAGAAGUAUCGAAGCUUUUGCGGUACAGGAUGGACCCGCGUCUGAUUAGCUAGUUGGUGAGGUAACGGCUCACCAAGGCGACGAUCAGUAGCCGACCUGAGAGGGUGAUCGGCCACAUUGGAACUGAGACACGGUCCAAACUCCUACGGGAGGCAGCAGUGGGGAAUAUUGCACAAUGGGCGAAAGCCUGAUGCAGCAACGCCGCGUGAGCGAUGAAGGCCUUCGGGUCGUAAAGCUCUGUCCUCAAGGAAGAUAAUGACGGUACUUGAGGAGGAAGCCCCGGCUAACUACGUG
rnacentral:rRNA from 1 species